rnacentral:rRNA from 1 species
CAGAGGGGGCAAGCGUUGUUCGGAAUUACUGGGCGUAAAGGGCGCGUAGGCGGCCUUCUAAGUCGAACGUGAAAUCCCCGGGCUCAACCCGGGAACUGCGUCCGAUACUGGAAGGCUUGAAUCCGGGAGAGGGAUGUGGAAUUCCAGGUGUAGCGGUGAAAUGCGUAGAUAUCUGGAGGAACACCGGUGGCGAAGGCGACAUCCUGGACCGGUAUUGACGCUGAGGCGCGAAAGCCAGGGGAGCAAACGGGAUUAGAUACCCCGGCAGUCCUGGCCCUAAACGAUGAAUGCUUGGUGUGGCGGGUAUCGAUCCCUGCCGUGCCGAAGCUAACGCAUUAAGCAUUCCGCCUGGGGAGUACGGUCGCAAGGCUG